UUUUUUUUUUUUAAAAAAAAUAAAAAUUUAUUGAUAAAGAAAGCAACAAAUGAGUACUAAUUUUUAUCAUAUUUCUGCAUACAAUUAUCAUUCAACUUGAAAAUUUACAAUAUUUCACCCAAAUGGGUAGAGAUCAAAGGUGGCUCUUUAUUCAUAUCUCUGUUUAUUCUGAGCCAGGGCUAUGACCUUAUGAGCAAGUGAGCUUUAUUUACUGGCCCAGGCCAGCCCAGUGCAAUGGCAAUUCUUAUUAUCUUAUGUGGGCCAGCCCAUUGGGGGGUUGGUUGGGAGGGGGGUAAGAGGGUGAACAUAAUAGUAAUAGUAGUCAUCAGUAUACCAUAGAUCAAAAU
rnacentral:misc_RNA from 1 species